rnacentral:lncRNA from 1 species
AUAGAUAUCUUUCUUUUAUUUCAGGAUCAUUGCUGCCUGAGAGCAUUACAUAAAGGAGUAAAUGUGUUAUCAUCUGUUACCUUCUCGGACAUCUUGGAACUUUUUCUAUGUUUCACUUUCACAUACUUGCACUGGAUGUUUUCUUCCAUCCCAACAUGAAAAAAAGAGAAAGGAAGAAAUAUCUACCCACAAAAUAAGUGCAAAGGUAGACAAAGGUUUAUAUUCACCACUCUAAUAUGGCUACAAAUAUCUGUGUCUUUUCUAUGACUCCAAACAGCUCUAAAUUUAAGCUUUUUGUAACUAUAAGCUCUCCCUCUGGGAUGUGUUCCUUAUGUGGAACAUGGAGAGGCCGAAGAGACGAUUCAAGCCAUCACAAAGCCUCCCCUUGGCUGCAAGCUGCCCCACCAGCACUACAGGGCUGGCAGUGCCACCUGCCCACAAGCUACAGAGAUGCCAAUGCUGUAACACUGAAGGAAAUGGAAAAAAAAAACAUGAUGUGCCUCAUACAGCAGAAAAAGCAGUAAAAUCACUAAAACAAAACCAUUAGGAUGAAGAACACAAAGUCUCCAUGAAUCUACAAACCCC